ACUAAGGUUUGCUUUGCUUGCUUGUCCCCGGAUGCAGUACCUGAUGGCGGCGGUGACGGCGGGGGCUCCAUACGCGCACCGGUGCCGUUCCCCAUCUACCACCCGGCCGCAACGGCGGCGUACUACGCGCACGCGUCCAUGGCCCGGGCGUGCCUUACUCGACGAGUGAAGCUGUCGCGGUGGCGGCGGCGGCGACGACGGAAGGGAAGGGCAAGGAGAAGGGCGGGGGCACAUUGCCUGAGAAGAGCAGCUCCGGCGCGCCGUCCGACGAGGACGCCUCCCGGAGCGGUGACAACGGCAAUGAGGAGUCGUUAAGAGACGAGAGAUGAUGGCACUGACCAUAAGAUUCGUCUGCGCAUAAGAAGAGGAAAACUGGUAACACAUCAGCUGAAGGUGAGCCGUCUCAUGCUGCUGUUGUGUGCUAUGUUGCUGUCGAGUCACCGUAUCCAGUGAAGGGGAGAUCUGCCCCGAAGCUUCUGGUGUCUGCACCCGAGCGGGCGGAAUGGCACCCUAAUUUUGAACAUUGGGAUAGAUCUUUGGAGUGCUUAUCCACCUGCAAUGCAAGGGGAAGCGAGCCCCGGCUUGGCGCAUGCUGGGAACUUCUUGAUAUCUCAGGGAACGUCACCUGAAUAACAGAUAUGGUAUGCGGGGCCAGUCAGUUUUGUAUUAUGCUCAUUAAUGAUUAGCAGUAUGUAUGUCACAUAGAUCACCCAUAAUCGAAAGCAUAAUAUUGGAGAUUAUACUGGUGCUCAAUUAACACAAAGCUUUCAACUAAACAUUUGCAUUAAUUUUGCAACACAGUAAUUGGUCUACUGCCAACUUUUAUUGAAAGGUACUCUGAUGCUUGUGAAAAAUAAGGGCCAUAAAUUUGCAGUUGCAUUUUGGUACUACAACUGACUGCAUCAGCCUUUUUUUUUCUGUUGAUUUGCUGUUUUGGUGGUUGCAUUUCCGAAAUCGGCAUAUUCUUUUCAGUGUUGAUGGUAAGUAGAAGGCUGAAGUCACUCUACAAUUUUAUGAACUCAAGAACUGGUAAAGGUGGUUUUGGAAUCCUUUUCUAGCCGCCGCUGCUCCUGUCUUGGCUAGGUGUACUUCUACGUGUCGUGCAACAUAUCAUCAUGUUCCAACGACUUGUUUGUCACUAUCGUCCAGUUGGUUAUAUUCAGAAAUCAGAACAGCUAGAGGGAGUUUACAAGGCUACGGAUGUAUAUAUGUUGCUUUGGAGGUCUAUGGUGAAGUCAUGUAGCUUCUAUUUUUAAGGUUGGGUAAUUAUUUAUUUAGAUGUAAGGUUGGGUAAUUAGUCAUAUGUUUGUAAGUAAUUGCAGUAAUAAAGAGAAUCUCUAUAUAUUUACUGAAAUACUUUGCAGCUAACAUCCCCUGAGCUAAUAAUUUAUUUGGUAGUUCCUUCUUGGCAUCAUCUUUAGCCCACUUUUCAGUUGAAGGAUGAGGUUAGAUGAACUGUGAUACUGACAUGGAGCUGGAAAUACUAUUAUGUAAUGCAAUUUUGGUCUCUGAAUUUUUUCUAUGUACUGCAGUUUUGGCCUCUGAAUUUUUGUAUCUACUGUUUUGAUUUCUGAGUUCUUGUCUGUUGAGAGUAGCAAAAUUAGUCUUAUUGAGCUUCAUUGGUAGCCGUUGUCUUUUCUAAAACAUUAGUUGCGGCAGCUAAUUAACAUUAUCCUUUACCGAUCUGUAACAGCAAAGUCCAAUGUGCAUUCUAAUAUUGCAACACAAGGGUCUCAAGCUGCGUUCUUUUUGUGUGGUUCACUAUACAAUAAAUCAUCGUGGCCAAUCUGAUAAGUUACAAUGCGUUUGUUUGUCUCCUUUGAGCUAGCCUGCCAGGAAAACACCCUGUCAGGCUUCACCUCCUUCAGUGCUUACUGCGUACUCCUAUUUAAAUGAGUACAUUCUGCAAUGAGUUGAAUAUUUCAGAGUAUUGUUAUAACAAUAUUCAAUAACUCCUAGCCUGUUGCACUUCUUUGUGUUGAACCUUCUGGUUGAUGAUGUCCAUGGGAAUUUUGUUCAGCUGGCUUCCAUAUAUACCAUUGUCUUGAUUAUGUUGAUUGCCUCUAAACUUCUACAUAUGUUUGAUGUCAUCUUAUGUAUUUUUUUAUUUCCGUUGCAAGGUACUCAACUAUCUGCCUCCAAAUUCAGCAGGUUUGAUGCUUGCACUGAAACUCACUCCUCCACUAGGAAGGUGCCUGUGGUUUGCAACGGCAUCCUUGUUCGAACAGAUUUGUUAUUUUUAUACAGUAUAUAGCAUGUCCAAUGAUUAGGGAUGAUGGCCAAUGAUUAGGGAUGAAAUUUGCUGAAAGGAAUUUUACCAUUUAGUGCCUUAUUUGGAUUAUAGUAUCUCAGGGAUUUACAUGUACCGCUGUAAUAGCGAAUCUGGAUAGGAUAUUUUGCUAUCGUUAGAGAUCUAGGAACAUGUCUUUCUAUCAUUGAGCCUGCAUGACACUGCUAAGAGGAUCUUUUGCCCGUAGCCUUAUAGAUACUGUGAUAUCGGUAGUGCGCACUCUUCCUUUGAUAAGGGUGCAGAAUUGCAGAUAUCAUGAUUUCAUCCCAUCAUUCUUUGGUACCUAUUUGAAACAAUGCAGAUAU